rnacentral:rRNA from 1 species
GAUGAACGCUGACAGAAUGCUUAACACAUGCAAGUCUUUGGCGAAGCUGUGCUUGCACAGCCUGGCCAAGGCGGACGGGUGAGUAACGCGUAAGGAACUUGCCCUGCAGUCAGGGAUAACAGACGGAAACGACUGAUAAGACCUGGUAAAGUCAGGCGGACUCAUGUCCAGCCUGAUGAAAAGAGAUGCUGCAGGAGAGCCUUGCGUCCUAUUAGCUUGUUGGUGGGGUAACGGCCCACCAAGGCGAUGAUAGGUAGCCGGCCUGAGAGGGUGGACGGCCACAAGGGGACUGAGAUACGGCCCUUACUCCUACGGGAGGCAGCAGUGGGGAAUAUUGGACAAUGGGGGCAACCCUGAUCCAGCAAUUCUGUGUGCAAGAUGAAGGUUUUCGGAUUGUAAAGUGCUUUCAGCAGGGAAGAAAAAAAUGACGGUACCUGCAGAAGAAGCGACGGCUAAAUACGUG